GGGUCCAAAGUCCACUGGUAAGACGUUACCUUGACACGGUAGAAAAGGAGGUUCAAUUCCUUCUGGACCCA
rnacentral:tRNA from 2 species